AGCGAACGCUGGCGGCAGGCCUAACACAUGCAAGUCGAACGAACCUUUCGGGGUUAGUGGCGGACGGGUGAGUAACACGUGGGAACGUGCCUUUAGGUUCGGAAUAACUCAGGGAAACUUGUGCUAAUACCGAAUGUGCCCUUCGGGGGAAAGAUUUAUCGCCUUUAGAGCGGCCCGCGUCUGAUUAGCUAGUUGGUUGAGGUAAUGGCUCACCAAGGCGACGAUCAGUAGCUGGUCUGAGAGGAUGAUCAGCCACAUUGGGACUGAGACACGGCCCAAACUCCUACGGGAGGCAGCAGUGGGGAAUCUUGCGCAAUGGGCGAAAGCCUGACGCAGCCAGGCCGCGUGAAUGAUGAAGGUCUUAGGAUUGUAAAAUUCUUUCACCGGGGACGAUAAUGACGGUACCCGGAGAAGAAGCCCCGGCGAACUUCGU
rnacentral:rRNA from 1 species